rnacentral:tRNA from 1 species
GCCGGGAUAGCUCAGUCGGUAGAGCAGAGGACUGAAAAUCCUCGUGUCACCGGUUCAAGUCCGGUUCCUGGCA